rnacentral:rRNA from 1 species
GUCCUAGCCCUAAACGGUGCUUGCUUGCUGUAAGAGGAAUCGACCCCUCUUGUGGCGGAGCUAACGCGUUAAGCAAGCCGCCUGGGAAGUACGGUCGCAAGAUUAAAACUCAAAGAAAUUGACGGGGCCUGCACAAGCGGUGGAGUAUGUGGCUUAAUUCGAUGCAACGCGAAGAACCUUACCUGGCCUUGACAUGCAAGUAGUAGAACCCUGAAAGGGGACGAGGUAGCAAUACCAGCUUGCACAGGUGCUGCAUGGCUGUCGU